CAGAAAAUAGUUUAAGUUGAAAAUAUUGGUUUUGGGGAUCAGUGAUGGGAGAAAUUCUUUUUUCUGA